UACGUAGGGUGCAAGCGUUAAUCGGAAUUACUGGGCGUAAAGCGUGCGCAGGCGGUUUUGUAAGACAGUCGUGAAAUCCCCGGGCUCAACCUGGGAAUUGCGAUUGUGACUGCAAAGCUGGAGUGCGGCAGAGGGGGAUGGAAUUCCGCGUGUAGCAGUGAAAUGCGUAGAUAUGCGGAGGAACACCGAUGGCGAAGGCAAUCCCCUGGGCCUGCACUGACGCUCAUGCACGAAAGCGUGGGGAGCAAACAGGAUUAGAUACCCCCGUAGUCC
rnacentral:rRNA from 1 species